AUCCAGACGACGAGUCCCAAAUAGGACGAAAUGCGCAUCCUGUAU
rnacentral:hammerhead_ribozyme from 1 species